rnacentral:rRNA from 1 species
UACGGAGGGUGCAAGCGUUGUCCGGAUUUAUUGGGUUUAAAGGGUGCGUAGGCGGCCGAUUAAGUCUGGGGUGAAAGCCCGUUGCUCAACAACGGAACUGCCCUGGAAACUGGUUGGCUUGAGUACAGACGAGGGUGGCGGAAUGGAUGGUGUAGCGGUGAAAUGCAUAGAUACCAUCCAGAACCCCCGAUUGCGAAGGCAGCUGCCUAGACUGUAACUGACGCUGAGGCACGAAAAGCGUGGGGGAGCGAACAGG